rnacentral:misc_RNA from 1 species
GAGAUAGGUUUUUCCCCUGCUAGGAGUUCUAUUAGCACAACCCCAAAACUGUACACAUCACUUUUUUCUGUGAAUUGACUUGUGUGGAAGUAUUCAGGAUCUAGGUAACCAAAGGUUCCCUGUACUGCAGUGGUCAGGUGAGUUCUGUCUAAUGGGAUUGAUCUUGAAGUCCCAAAAUCUGAUAUUUUUGCGCCAUAUUUAUCAUCUAGGAGUAUGUUUGAAGGUUUGAUAUCUCUAUGGAAGAUUGGGGAUGAAGCUGCAGAAUGCAUAUAUGCUAUUGCUCCAGCUACUUCACUUGCAAUUCUUAAGCGAUGCUCCCAUGGAAGCGAAGAUUCAUGGUCUUGCUCAUGAAUAUGAUGGGAAAGGUUUCCAUUAGAAAUGAACUCAUAAACU